AUUCAAAUAAUCUUUAGAAUCAACUUUAUAGUUCUAAUUAAAAAGUAUCCAAAAGAAAUAAAUAUAUCAUACAGAAGCAUGUUUCCAAUAUGGCGACGCGCAAUUUGAUCUAACCGGAACGUUGCGUAUAAAUCGAACGUAUGCUUCGUUAACCAUUUUAAAAUAUUUUUUUUUUAUUAAUAUCAUUUAUUCUGUGAUUUUAGUGAAAUAAAAGAAGUUAGAGAAAUAUUAUAUAUAAUUAAUUUUUUCCAGUGUUUAUUCACAAGGAUGUAAAUUACAUACAUACAUGUAGAAACCGAACAAGUUAGAAUGAAAGACGGACAAUCGCUAGGCGAUUUAAUGGCAUGAGCAAGUUCGCAGCGAAAAAUCUUACCAAUGACAGCAUACAUUUUAUUAAUUAUUAUUUUAUAUACAUGUGGUCGUAUUGUAUGUAUUUAUUAAUAAAACAUGACCACUAACGUAUAAAGUAUAAGUAUUUAUGAAUUACUUAAAAACAAUUGUAAAUGUGGCACAGCCCAAGUAAAUCCCUGAAGAAAAUCUUUAAGAAUUAAUAAAAUUCCUUUUAUUAUAA